GACUCAUUGAGUGUAGGCCCAAGCAAUGAAGUGAGUUUGUCUCCUGUUCUGGGUACGAGAAAACCCGACGUGCGGAGUGCGCGGUGAAAACCCUAGCCUCCAAUCCCCUUCCUCCCUCGAGCCCCGCGCCUCCACCCACUCGCCUCUUUUCUCAUCCACCGCCUUGCACGUCCUCCUCCCCUUCACUUCUCAAGCCGCGCCGCCAACCAUCUGCGCCCCACGACGACGGCGACUUUGUUGCCACCCCGGCGGCCGCGGGGCGCAGCUGGCCUUCAUGGGCCGCAUCAUCGCCACGCUCGACCGCAGCUACCGCUAGGGCCGCUCCCACGCGCUGCUCGAGUCGCCCGCCGGCACCGGCAGGUCGCUCUCCCUCCUUUGCGUCGCGCUGGCCUGGCAGCGCCACUGCCCAGCUCGGUACGCCCCAGCCGCCAACCCCCCUCCACGACGACGCCUUCAUCCCUGGCAACACCCGGCAGCAGCCCACUACUGACAUCCCGGAGAAGGCGGCGGCUGCCAAGAAGAAGAAUGCGCCGACCAUCUACUACAUCACGUAAGAUCUGCUCUCAAAUGAACUGAAAUGAUGGGGCAAUCUUGCCAGCCAGGUUUCUUGGCUGCUUGUCUUGAAUCGAUUAGAUGAAUCCUGAUUGAUUUCAUUUCCCUUCAAAAAAUCCUGAUUAGUUUCUUGGUUCCAUUGUCUAUCGGUUGCCGGAGGACGCGCUGUCAGAUAACCCAGGUGGUCAUGGAGCUGUGCAAGACGAUGGCCAUCUUGGCCUCAAGGAAGCACUAUUGCAUCAAUAAGACCGUAUGCAUGGCUGAGCCAAUUGACGAGGAAUUGUGACAUACAAGACACAUAUAUUUACUAAUCAUUUGGGUUCUUAAUUGUAAACCAUUUAGUGAGACCUUUUCUCCAUCAGCAAGAAGCUUCUAGAUGACAAAGUUCAAGGAUGCCCAGAAUUCAAAAACUGAGUCAUCGUCCAUCCCUUCGGACCGAUGGCUGCUAUGAAGUUCCUGAUAUUGAGGAUCUUCCUAGGGUCGGAACACAAGUCAAAGUUAUUUACAGGAUGUCCAUAUUUUGCUGCACAAACCAUGCAUGGCAAAAGCAGCACAAUUGAUUUUCUGCCCAUAUAGCAACCUAAUUAGUCCAAUUGUCAGGAGAGCAAUGGACAUUGAUAUCAUUGGCUCAAUUGUUAUUCUUGAUGAAGUGCAGUAAGCCCCUGAGUCUGCAGACUCAUGAUUCUUUUUCAGUGUCAUUCAAUGGUUUCCUUAGUUGCAAGACAACGGCUCCCUUUGUUACCGAUCCGGUGUUGUUGUGCGUGAGGACGGACAUGGGGAAGGUGCAACAAGGCAGCGCUCAAGUUGCAGUGGAGUGGAGUCGACCAUCACUACUGACCGCUGCUCGGCGAUCCUCGCCCCUCACCCCCCAUCUAGGUUGCACAUCUUUGGCCUUGCCAUCUUCUUCCUCCCAGUUUUUCCUCUUGAUUUCAUAGGUUCUUUGAAAACCUGAUUUUGAUUUCUUAAUUUAUGUUUUUCUUAACAAGAUGUGGUUAGGAACUAAAUCGACAAGCAUCGAUAUUUUUGUUAGGAAGGAGCGCUAGGAGCCUAGGAGUGGAACACGAUUUCCUCGAAUCUAGCCGAGGCCUCUGCUUUUUUCGUCAUCUUCCAUCGGUCCAAGCUGCUAUUGUUCGCUCCGUCGGCUUGCAGUUGCUUCUGGAGCGUGCUUCAGAUUCAUUGUGCCUCCUUCCAAUGAUCAUAUGCCAGAUUUCAGAACAAAACUAGCUAUCAUUUAGUGGACUCGAGAUUGAAUGGCGAUGAUAUAAAAAACUGAGACUUGAAGAUGACAGAAACAACACAAAUUCCAACGGAUUGUAUGAUUCUGGAUAGACCUCUAAGAACAUGGAGACAACAUAGAUCUCACUGUUUAUUUAUUUAUCUAAGGACGUUAAAUUUGUUACCAUAUGUGUUUACC